UCAUGGCCUCUCCCUGGGAGACCCUGUGCCCAGAUCAACCUGUUCGUUGGGGGAGAGAAACUGAACGGUCGCUGGACCCGACACGUUAACUGCUCUUUUUUCUAUAAAAACAAAAACCCCCUUAUGCCCACGGAUGGUGCAGUUUCUGUCGCAGCUCUUCUAGUGAGGGCGGUAGUGCCCCUACCUCUGGGCCAGGAGCCCCGGGCUCAACGAUCCCCAGCCCCACAGGUUGAUCAGGCAAAAAAGAAAGUACACAUACAUGCAAUGCACCUGUUCCAACUCAACAAACAUCCGUGAUCUUUCAAUCAAAAUUUCCUCCAGACCCAACUCCAGCUCUUGACACUGCCUCACGCCACGAGGAAAAUCCGUCACAAGGCUGCAGAGGACCAAAAACACUCACACAGUGAUUCAAGCAGAGAAACCUGAUCAGGGUCUGUCACGUGCAAGAACAACACCCCCACCACUACCUCCCCCCACCCCCUAAUCCCCACUCCCACAAGAGGGAAGAUACAACAGAAAACAGACUUCUGCAUUUUUUUUUCUAAAUAACUGGUCCUAUGCACCACAAUAAAGAGUACAUAAUGGGCUUACGACCAGAGCAUCUUGGAAUACUGCAAAUUCUCAUUAGAAAAACCAUCAGUUCAAAGCAGACAAGCCAGCUCUGCCACUGCCUGUUAUUUAAUUCACACACUUCUUUACCAAUAUGUAUUUUGGAUUGUGAAUCAAAAUGGGAAAAGACCACUUUAAGCCAAGAACUCACUGAGCAUUGUAUUCACACUAUACGUCAUUCAUGCAUUAUGACAUGUAGAUCCCUCUGCAAUCUCUUCACCAUUUAAGAAAUAUCCUUUUCUUAAUUCUGCUGCCAAAAUGGACAAUUUUAUAUUAUCCCCACAUAUUCCCGUUUGCCACAUCUUUGCCCUUAGCUUACUGAUAUUCCUCUGAAGUCUUCUGUUGCUCUCUUCACAAACUUUUCUACCUGUCCUUGUGUCAUCAGUAAAUUUAGCAACUAUACCUUCAGUCCAUUCAUCCAAGUAAUUUAUACAGGUUGUAAAGAGGAGGACCUAGUACUGAUUCCUGCGGAACACCAUGCAUUACACCUUGCCGACCAGAAAAUUACCUAUUUAAUCCUAUUCUGUUUCCUGUUAGCAGCCAAUCUUUUACACAUUCCAAAUAUACUAUCCUCUACACUUUUAAGAUUUUAAUUACUGCAAUAACCUUUAGUGUAGCAAAUUAUUUGAUGUCUUCUGGAAAUCUAAGUACAGUAGAUCCACCAAUUCCUCUUUAUUCAGUUGUUAUAUAUACACAU